rnacentral:rRNA from 1 species
AACGAACGCUGGCGGCAUGCUUUACACAUGCAAGUCGAACGAGAAAGCUCUUCGGAGUGAUUAAAGUGGCGCACGGGUGAGUAAUGCAUAGGAACGUACCUUUAGAUGGGGAACAACUACGGGAAACCGUAGCUAAUACCGCAUACGCAGGAAACUGUAAAGAUGGCCUCUACUUGUAAGCUAUCGUCUAGAGAGCGGCCUAUGUCCCAUUAGCUUGUUGGUAGGGUAAUGGCCUACCAAGGCUACGAUGGGUAGCUGGUCUGAGAGGAUGAUCAGCCACACUGGAACUGAGACACGGUCCAGACUCCUACGGGAGGCAGCAGUGGGGAAUAUUGCACAAUGGGCGCAAGCCUGAUGCAGCAAUGCCGCGUGAGUGAAGAAGGCUCUCGGGUCGUAAAUCUCUUUCAUUAGAAAAGAAGUGCUUUUGUGAAAAUAUUGCAAAAGUGUGACGGUAUCUAAAGAAGAAGCACCGGCUAACUCCG